rnacentral:rRNA from 1 species
GGACCCGCACAAGUAGUGGAGCAUGUGGUUUAAUUCGAAGAUACGCGCAGAACCUUACCAACACUUGACAUGUUCGUCGCGACUUCAAGAGAUUGAAGUUUUCGGUUCGGCCGGACGAAACACAGGUGCUGCAUGGCUGUCGUCAGCUCGUGUCGUGAGAUGUUGGGUUAAGUCCCGCAACGAGCGCAACCCUUGUCAUUAGUUGCUACAUUUAGUUGAGCACUCUAAUGAGACUGCCGGUGACAAACCGGAGGAAGGUGGGGAUGACGUCAAGUCCUCAUGGCCCUUAUGGGUAGGGCUUCACACGUCAUACAAUGGUCGGUACAGAGGGUUGCUAAGCCGCGAGGUGGAGCCAAUCCCAGAAACCGAUCGUAGUCCGGAUCGUAGUCUGCAACUCGACUACGUG